rnacentral:rRNA from 1 species
GUCGACGACUCCUACGGGAGGCAGCAGUGGGGAAUAUUGCACAAUGGGCGCAAGCCUGAUGCAGCCAUGCCGCGUGUAUGAAGAAGGCCUUCGGGUUGUAAAGUACUUUCAGCAGUGAGGAAGGUGGGUAUGUUAAUAGCAUAUUCAUUUGACGUUAGCUGCAGAAGAAGCACCGGCUAACUCCGUGCCAGCAGCCGCGGUAAUACGGAGGGUGCGAGCGUUAAUCAGAAUUACUGGGCGUAAAGCGCAUGCAGGUGGUUUGUUAAGUCAGAUGUGAAAGCCCGGGGCUCAACCUCGGAAUUGCAUUUGAAACUGGCAAACUAGAGUACUGUAGAGGGGGUAGAAUUUCAGGUGUAGCGGUGAAAUGCGUAGAGAUCUGAAGGAAUACCGGUGGCGAAGGCGGCCCCCUGGACAGAUACUGACACUCAGAUGCGAAAGCGUGGGGAGCAAACAGGAUUAGAUACCCCGGUAG